rnacentral:rRNA from 1 species
UACGUAGGUGGCAAGCGUUGUCCGGAAUUAUUGGGCGUAAAGCGCGCGCAGGCGGUCCUUUAAGUCUGAUGUGAAAGCCCACGGCUCAACCGUGGAGGGUCAUUGGAAACUGGAGGACUUGAGUACAGAAGAGGAAAGCGGAAUUCCACGUGUAGCGGCGAAAUGCGUAGAGAUGUGGAGGAACACCAGUGGCGAAGGCGGCUUUCUGGUCUGUAACUGACGCUGAGGCGCGAAAGCGUGGGGAGCAAACAGG